AUUUGCUAUUAUUUGUGCUUUGUGGACCAGGGUGACAUGAGUGAAAACCUGGUAGCUUUGCUUUCUCACCUGCCUUGCUCCCAUUGGUAUGCUGCAGUGCAAUAAUAUCCAGGGCUGAGUCACUUGGAGAAUACCAUUUCGGGCUGAAAUAAUGGUGUCAGUGUAAAAUUUGGGGUCAAUAUGCAGGACUUUCAAACUGACAGCACAAAUGAUGUGCUGUUCUUCAUAUCCUCAAGAAAUGAGAUAAUUAAAUAAUCCUUACUGUCCAUUCAUAAUCUACUGGGUGACAAAAUGAACCCCACAAUAUUUAACAAUGCAGAGGAGAAUGAGAGCCCUACACCACCAGCCACUGUGUUUGUCUAAAUCUUAACACAAACAUCACAACUCCAGUUGAGGAAGCAUCCCACCUGUCAUUCAGGUUGGACCCUGAGAUGCUUCUCUACAGAGUGUGUGAAUCAUACCGCACUUGUUCAAUUUUACUGUAAAAUCAUUUGGUGAUUACAGAGGGCUGGUUGGAGACAACGGAACAAACACCUGAGUCAUCCACAUUGCAAGAGCUGGGAGUUAGAGGGAGAUUUUGAUAUCCCGGAGGUGAGGUACUUAUCCCAGGGAAAGGUAGUUAGUAGGACACGGGAUGCCCCAGAAAUCUUCAGGAGGUUUCAAGGAAAUUUUUCUCAUACAAACAUGUAGAAAGCAAUUUUGAGUGCACUCAUCUAUGAUUUAUUUAUUUUCAUCAACAGACUAGAAGUGGCUGACAACACAAAGAUAGAAGAUUACUUUAAUAAAAAUGAGUGUAAAAUGUCAGAGCUCAUGAAGGAAGUAAAGAAAAUGGACAAAUGAAUAAAAUUAAUGUAUCUUUUAAAAGAGAGAAAGAUCAAGCAACUUCUAUUAAAAGAAAAAACAGCUAAACACAAACCCCCAAAGUGCUUAAGGCACAUGUCCAAACUUUCCCAAGGUCAAGAAAGGACAGGAGGAUUAAUCAAAAUCAUGAGCUCCUUCACGACCUGACCUCCAGAAAGAAGUGUAGAAAAGCCUGGAUCUGUAUAAAAGAAUUGCAAACAUCCUGGCAUAAAACCAGAAAAGCUAAGGAGUAAAUAUGAUACGUUAAGCAUGAUGUGAAAAUCAAGAGCUAAUCUAAGUAUAUGGAUAUUGGAAGAGAGACAAAUAAUGUUAGUCUGUUCUUAAUGGGGAACUGACUAACAGACUCUUUAUUCCUUAAGGUACCAGAUAACUUGUGCCCAGCAAGGAGGAAAGAAACUGCUAAGUUGCACUACUCAUCAACAAGUCACAUCAAUCUCCUCCAAGGAUAGGAUAACAGGCUGGGUAGCUGUGAAAGAUGCAGUAUACGUCAGGUGUCUCCAUUAAGGGAGGCUUCUAACAUAAUUUUAUAUAACACUUUUAUUGUAACAGGAGGAGAAACUCUGGUCUGGAUGAAACUACUGUAAGUUUGGUGCGCAGCUGGUUGAGAAACUGUGCUAAUUGUUUGAAAGAUUAUAUAGAACAUAAGCAGGGCUCCACACAGGCAAGCCUGAGGUCCUCUGAUACUUGGUAUUUUCCACAAUGACAUGCAAGGCAAAAGACAGUGUUUACUCACUGCAUUUGUAGUUCAUUCCGGAGUGGAAGGACUACCAUAAGUCAAGAUGAGAGUUCAAGACAAUCUUGUGAAACUGGAACAGUGGUCCAGCAUAAAUAGGAGGCAAUGCAGUAAACACAAAAACAAAAUUUCACCCUUGUUCACACAACACACAACCAAGGAAAUUUGUAAAAUAUGUAUUGAAAGCAAGAAGUCUUCUCCAUUUUCACAAGGAUGAACAGCUAGGACAUGAAGUAAUGGGAUACCGUUGCUCUGAGGGACUUUCAGGUUAGAUAUUAGGAAACACUUAUAAACAUUGUAAGGCUAGUUAAGGAGCUCCUAGUUAAGGAGCAGAUUAAGCUGUGUGGGGGAGAUGUGGAAUCUCAUUGUGAAUCUGUAGGAACAGGUUAGACAGCAUCUGUUAGUACCAGUCUACCUCUCCUUGCUCUCAGAGGGUUAGUGCCAAGAAGUGCUCCCCCAUUCUGACUGUAAUGUUGCAGUUAUCAGGGACUGAGCUGAGGUGAGUAGCAUGAGCCAUAUACAGAUGGAAAAUGAAGGGAUGCAAGGGUCUACCAAGAGUCAAAGACUUCAUUUAUUACUGAUACUUUAGUUGUUGCUAAUUUUAGCCUCUUAGCCACAUCCAUGUACAUCUUUGCCUUAGUACCAUGGCUGUUCUGGUGGGUACAGAUUAUCCCUUGCUUUGCCCUCAAAUGGUUGCCAGUUACAGCUGGAGAGCACAGCUGUAGUGAUCUACCUAAUGUUAACGGCUUACCAUUUUUUAAAUAAUGAUAGUUACAACUGUUGUUAUCACUAAGGCCUUUGGCAGGAAUUGCACAGAAAUUCCCAAAAUGCUGGGGUGUUUGUCUAAUGUGGGUUAAUGACUAAUGCAAGCAAGGUUUUAUGAGCUGCUUGUGCUUUUAUGAAAUCACCAUGGGUUUGUAACCUGUGUAUACGGUUGUCUUUUUUGCAGUUAUACCAAAUGCAUGCAAGGUCAACUCGAGAACUGUGAGCUGUUCUGCAAAACUGAAGAUGAAGGAGUCAUAUGUUCCUGUGCUGCUGGCUAUGCCCUGGGCAAUGACAACAAAACCUGCACUCCUAUAGCUACAAUGCCACACUUAAAGUUCAUUCCUGGGGCACACAUUACAUCUUGGCCACAUUUGGGAAGUGCUGGUACCUAUCUGUAACUCUAAAGGCUGCUUUUGACUGCAAAACCCAUGUUCCAGCAAGUUUGAAAAAUUCCUUGUGAUGAAGAAGCCCUGACCCGACCUCAGCAGUGCUAGUGCAAAGCCAACACCCGGGAGCUUCCACCCACAGCACAGACUGUAACUAGGUGGUGGAAGUAGCUUCUGCCAUAAACCUGAGUCCCAAGUCAUGGGAGACAUGAACUGUGGAUUUGUGUAACUGCUACACUACUGGAUUGCUUCUGGAAGUUGACUUCCGCAUUUAUGACAGAUGACAUGAUGUGUCAUCUUGGUAUUUGUCUUGAGUGACAAUUGCAAUUCUCUGUGCAAUUAAGCAGCUGGGAUAAGUGUCCCUGAAGACGGAAUUUGUUCUUAUCUGUUAAUGAACAUCUGAGUAGGUUGACGAUGUUGCUUCAUGCUUGGCAAUGCAAACUGAGAGGAAAGGAAGGAGAACCUCAGGUGACUGAUUCCUCUGAACACACGUUAAGCUCAAGACGGCAAUCAAAGUUCCUUGAAAGUUUCCAUGCCUUUUGUAAUUGGUUAUUAUACCCAUUUUGAGGGGUUUUAGAGGGCUGCCAAAAUGCCAAGCAAGUAGGAAAUCAGGACAAUGCUGUCAAUGAAACCUUUAAUAUAAAGUUUUUUGCUUCAUUACAAUAUUCCCAAUGGCACUUCUUACAACAUACAACCACAGAAGAGAAGGAUCUUGCCCCUUUCAUUUGUAGAGCAACAUAGUCAAACAGACUUAAACAGGAGAUAGGUAUUUAUUGUCUUUUAAAACUUAACAUUCUGCACAGAAAAAUUUAUGAGUUUAUAUAUCUUUAGUCUCUCAGUUUGUAUGAAGAAAUCUCUUUGGGAAUUAAGUGCACAGACAAUUGGAGUUUAGGCAAACAAUUUUUGCAUUACUGAGUACAGGCUGAGUACAAUUUUUAUAACUCAGAAACCCAUUUUUUAGUGCCUAGAACUUGUGAUAAACUGCUUUUUCAUAAAUGACAGUAAUACAUAAUAAAUUUGGGGUUUCAAGUA